rnacentral:rRNA from 1 species
GUGUCAGCAGCUGCGGUAAUACGUAGGUGGCAAGCGUUGUCCGGAAUUAUUGGGCGUAAAGCGCGCGCAGGCGGGAUAUCAAGUCUGUCUUAAAAGUGCGAGGCUCAACCUCGUGAGGGGACGGAAACUGGUAUUCUUGAGUGUCGGAGAGGAAAGUGGAAUUCAAAGUGUAGCGGUGAAAGGCGUAGGGAUUUGGAAGAACACCAGUGGGGAAGGCGACUUUCUGGACGAUGUCUGA